rnacentral:rRNA from 1 species
UACAGAGGUCCCAAGCGUUGUUCGGAUUCACUGGGCGUAAAGGGUGCGUAGGUGGCCAGGUAAGUUUGGUGUGAAAGCUCGGAGCUCAACUCCGAAAUGGCAUUGAAUACUAUCUGGCUGGAGGGUCGGAGGGGAGACUGGAAUUCUCGGUGUAGCAGUGAAAUGCGUAGAUAUCGAGAGGAACACCAGUGGCGAAGGCGAGUCUCUGGACGACACCUGACGCUCAUGCACGAAGGCUAGGGUAGCGAACGGG